rnacentral:rRNA from 1 species
CUGGCUCAGGAUGAACGCUGGCGGCGUGCCUAAUACAUGCAAGUCGAACGAGGUAGCAAUACCGAGUGGCGAACGGGUGAGUAACACGUAGGUAACCUGCCCUUAAGCUUGGGAUACCCAGAGGAAACUUGGCUAAUACCGGAUAACAACAGAGAAGGCAUCUUCUUUGCUUGAAAGGCCCCUUCAAGGGUCACUUAAGGAUGGACCUGCGGCGCAUUAGCUAGUUGGUGAGAUAACAGCCCACCAAGGCGAGGAUGCGUAGCCGAACUGAGAGGUUGAUCGGCCACAUUGGAACUGAGACACGGUCCAAACUCCUACGGGAGGCAGCAGUAAGGAGUUUUCGGCAAUGGGGGAAACCCUGACCGAGCAACGCCGCGUGAGCGAUGACGGCCCUAUGGGUUGUAAAAAGCUCUGUUGUAAGCCAUGAAUGAUAGCUUGAGGAAAUGCAAGCUAUUUGACGACAGCUUACCAGAAAGCCACGGCUAACUACGUGCCAGCAGCCGC